rnacentral:rRNA from 1 species
UACAGAGGGGGCAAGCGUUGUUCGGAAUUACUGGGCGUAAAGGGCGCGUAGGCGGCCUGUUAAGUCGGACGUGAAAUCCCUCGGCUCAACCGAGGAACUGCGUCUGAUACUGGCGGGCUUGAAUUCGGGAGAGGGAUGUGGAAUUCCAGGUGUAGCGGUGAAAUGCGUAGAUAUCUGGAGGAACACCGGUGGCGAAGGCGGCAUCCUGGACCGACAUUGACGCUGAGGCGCGAAAGCCAGGGGAGCAAACGGG